rnacentral:rRNA from 1 species
GGUAGUCCGAGGGUAGUAAACGCUGCAGACUUUGGUUGGUUCGGGAACCCGUUCGGGGGUGCUCAGUGCCGGAGAGAAGUUGUUAAGUCUGCUACGUUGGGAGUACGUCCGCAAGGAUAGAAACUUAAAGGAAUUGGGCGGGGGAGCACCGCAACGGGAGGAGCGUGUCGGUUUAAUUGGAUUCAACGACCGAAAAACUCACCAGCAGCGACUGUUACAUGAAAGUCAGGUUGAUGACCUUACUAGAUUUUCAG